rnacentral:rRNA from 1 species
UACGUAGGGUGCGAGCGUUGUCCGGAAUUAUUGGGCGUAAAGAGCUCGUAGGCGGUGUGUCACGUCGUUCGUGAAAACCUGCAGCUUAACUGUGGGCGUGCGGGCGAUACGGGCAGACUAGAGUACUGCAGGGGAGACUGGAAUUCCUGGUGUAGCGGUGGAAUGCGCAGAUAUCAGGAGGAACACCGGUGGCGAAGGCGGGUCUCUGGGCAGUAACUGACGCUGAGGAGCGAAAGCGUGGGGAGCGAACAGG